rnacentral:rRNA from 1 species
CCCGCCUUGUUUAACAAAAACAUGUCCUAUAGAUUUUUAAUUUUAGGUCUAGUCUGCCCAAUGAUUUAUUUAAUGGCUGCAGUAUUUUAACUGUACGAAGGUAGCAUAAUCAUUUGUCUUUUAAUUGAAGGCUUGUAUGAAUGGCUGGACGAGGAACUUACUUUUUUUAUUUAAAUUUUAUGAAUUUAAUUUUUUGGUCAAAAAGCUAAAAUUUUUUUGCAAGACGAGAAGACCCUAUAGAAUUUUAUUUAUUUAUAUAAAUUAGAUUUUAUGUUAUUUAAAUAUUUUGUUUAUGUAAAUAGAUUUUGUUGGGGUGACAGUGAAAUUUAAUUAACUUUCAUAUAUAUUAUUCAUUGAUUUAUGUAAAAUUGAUCCCUUUUUUAGGAUUAUUAGAUUAAAUUACCUUAGGGAUAACAGCGUAAUUUUUUUGGAGAGUUCUUAUCGAUGAAAAAGUUUGCGACCUCGAUGUUGGAUUAAAAUUAGAAUUGGGUGCAGAAGCUCAUAUUUGUAAGUCUUUCGC